CAUGUGUCGACGUCGCAGCAAGCAGCAUUUUGAAGCCCAAUUACAUGUGUCUGGAAAGUCAAAAAAUGCCCGCCUCUGCUGUAUGUAAACGUGU